UAGGGAAUCUUCGGCAAUGGACGAAAGUCUGACCGAGCAACGCCGCGUGAGUGAAGAAGGUUUUCGGAUCGUAAAACUCUGUUGUUAGAGAAGAACAAGGAUGAGAGUAAAACGUUCAUCCCUUGACGGUAUCUAACCAGAAAGCCACGGCUAACUACGUGCCAGCAGCCGCGGUAAUACGUAGGUGGCAAGCGUUGUCCGGAUUUAUUGGGCGUAAAGCGAGCGGAGGCGGUUUCUUAAGUCUGAUGUGAAAGCCCCCGGCUCAACCGGGGAGGGUCAUUGGAAACUGGGAAACUUGAGUGCAGAAGAGGAGAGUGGAAUUCCAUGUGUAGCGGUGAAAUGCGUAGAUAUAUGGAGGAACACCAGUGGCGAAGGCGGCUCUCUGGUCUGUAACUGACGCUGAGGCUCGAAAGCGUGGGGAGCAAACA
rnacentral:rRNA from 1 species